CCAUCGGUUCCCGUAAGAUCACCGAAGUUAAGCAAUAUCAAGCCUGGUCAGUACCUAAAUGGAUGAGCGCUUGGGAAUACCAGCUGCUGUAAU